CCUACGGGUGGCAGCAGUGGGGAAUAUUGCACAAUGGGGGGAACCCUGAUGCAGCGACGCCGCGUGAGUGAAGAAGUAUUUCGGUAUGUAAAGCUCUAUCAGCAGGGAAGAAAAUGACGGUACCUGACUAAGAAGCCCCGGCUAACUACGUACCAGCAGCCGCGGUCAUACGUAGGGGGCAAGCGUUAUCCGGAUUUACGGGGUGUAAAGGGAGGGUAGACGGUUAUGCAAGUCUGAAGGGAAAGACCAAGGGUCAAACAUGGGACUGCUUUGGAAACUGUAAAACUGGAGUGCAGGAGAGGUAAGCGGAAUUACUGGUGUAGCGGUGAAAUGCGUAGAUAUUAGGAGGAACACCAGUGGCGAAGGCGGCUUACUGGACUGUAACUGACGUUGAGGCUCGAAGGCGUGGGGAGCAAACAGGAUUAGAUACCCCUGUAGUC
rnacentral:rRNA from 1 species